rnacentral:lncRNA from 1 species
UUUACAAUGCAACGUGCAACAUGCGAUAACAUGCAAAAUGCGACAUCGUGCAACAUGCGACUGCCAAUAUUUAUUUUAUAACAGGUUCAAGUUUUCGUUUAAAAGUAUUAUCUGCAUUGCAAGACACAGGCGAAUGCCUAAAAGCGCCAAGCUUUUUACAACAAAAAUAUUUGUCGGUGAUAGAAUAAUUCAACGAAAAAUAAAACAAGAGAACAUGAAAAAAGCUCUCGGAGAUUUUCUAAUUUGCAGGUCAAGAGAAAACUAGUAUGUACUGAAAAAUAAAUUAUCGAUAAUUAAAAUCACUUACGGAAUAUUAAAGUACAGAAGUAUAAUAUUGCACCUAGGUAAGAUAAUACAUUUUUUCUACAGGUGUUCCUGUCUUAUGUUUGAAUUUCAGGAUGUGAUGCAAUAUAAUUUAAAUAUUAUAAAUAUAAAUAUGAGAUAUCUAACGAACUUGUCAACAGGUUUUCCAGUAUAAUCUUUUGUUACUUUUAGGAUUAUUAUUUUAUGAUGAAUUUGUAAUUUUCUAGCUAUUCAAACUUAAGCAUGUUUAGAAAAUAAAAAAAAAGAAACAAAAUGCGGCAAAAAGAAAUUGUGCCCAAUAUAUACAUUUAUAUAAAAAAAAAAGUGGAGAAAAAAAAAAUAAAACAUUAUGAAAAAAAAUACAUAAAACACUAAUCAAUAAAGAAAAAAAUAACGAAAAAAAAGACGACAAUAAAAAUUAAAACGAACUAAUAAACACGAUGAAAACAAUAUGUAACACAAAUCUGAAGUAAGAAGACAUCGGAAGCAAGAAGACGAAGAAAGAAGACAUCGGAAACAAGAAGACGAAGAAAGAAGACAUCGGAAACAAGAAGACGAAGAAAGAAGACAUCGGAAGCAAGAAGAUGAAGAAAGAAGACAUCGGAAGCAAGAAGACGAAGAAAGAAGACAACAAGAAGAACAAAAAAGAGCAAGAAGAUGUCAAAUUAAGGCUAAGAAUAUAAAGAAUAGAAGACGAUAAAAGAAUACCAAGCAUUCCAAAAAUAGACCAAGAAGAUGAAGAAUGGAGACCAAGAAGAUGUAAAGAGUGUCGUCCUCCUGCCCCUUCCCGUGACUGUGUGUGUGUCACCUUUUCUUUUCCAGGUGCUCUACUAAACCAAGUUCUCGCUGUCUUCUGCUCCUGCUGAAUGUCAGGUAUUCCUCGAGCAUCGCUUCAGUUCAGUUUCAUAGUACACCAUCUACCACUAUCAGGAUAUCUACAUUAUGUCAACCCAAUACCCUUAUGCCGAAAAGAUGACAUCAGGUUAAGCUUCCUUGAAUCUUUCUUGACUUCACAUGACAUGACAACAGCAAAUGGGUAUAUUUUCGGAGUAAUUUCAAAUAUUUAUCCAAGACUUCAGUGAACUGCUAACUCGAUGCGACACAUAGGAUAUCAAGUUUACUGAACCCACUUCAAACAUCACAUCACGAUUUCAAGUUGACAUAUUCCAAGCCAAUAUUACUUUUUCCCCUGAGAAGACUCUGGCAAGGGCCCCGUUACUCGUAUAAGAUUUAUCUGAUGUACGAACAAACCAAUUAGUAAUCCUCUUUUUUCAAUCAGCAUGUGGUAUGUUACAUUAACCAUUGAAAUAUGCAAGUUUAGUUAGCUGCCUGCCAUAUCGGAUGAGUAGCCUAAAUACACCGAAUCUUAUUGAAACAUUGUUAUGUACAUAUGACACGUCUGAAGAAAGCUAGUUUAGAUCGCUGCUGCUGUUUUAGUAUCUAUUGAGCAAGCUUGAGCACGAAUUUUCUGUUUAGACAAACAGAUUGGUAUGAUAUAUUACAAUAACAACUGAAGUAAGGCUUUUAGAAUACUUCGUUUCGUUUCUAAUGAGCAGCUCUUACACAUGAGUCAGUUUGAAACAUCAUACAUGUGGCAUGCCUGAAGUAAGUCUGUUUUUAAUAUCUGUUCAACAAGCUUGAACACGCAUUUCCUGUAUAGACUACCAAUAUGGUACGUGGUGUGGAUAUGCAGUUUAGAAUACUUUGUUUGUAAUAAGCAGCCUAAAUACACAGAAUUUGUUUAAGACAUCGUACUUGUAGCGUCUGUUGAGCAACCUUGAGCACGCAUUUCCCGUUUAGACAGCAAGUAUGGAUAUUACAUUAAUAACUCGAAGCAAGGCAGUUUAGAAUACUUUGUUUGUAAUGAACAGCCUAAAUACACAGGAUCAGUUUAAAACGUUGUACGUGUAGCAUCUAUUAAACAAGCUUGAGCACGCAUUUUCUGUUCUCAGUAUGAUAUGCGAGUUAAUACUGAAGUAAGGCAGUUUAGAAUACUUGUUUCUGAUUAUCGAGCUUAAACAACCUACAUGAGGUAUGAGGAUACUAGAUAUUCUACUGUUGAACCAACCUGACCCAUUACUUAGAUCAUGCUUGGAUAUAUUAAAACAAAAGAAAUCUACAUAUAGAAAAGUUGUUUCACGUUCGCUGAAAGUCUACAACUUUAGAGUCUACUUAAGACCUAAUUGUAAUGGGGAAUCAACAAAUGACGGCAAAACGUUUAAAGAGUAAAAAUAUUAAGGAGAAGAAUUAUGAAAAUCGCCUCGAAAACUUGGUUUGUAAGAAUUUAAGCAUUUGAAUACUGUAAUUAUAUAACACCGCUUUAAAAUAUCAAGAAACGUAAUAAACAGGAGAAAUUCUAAUAAGAUGAAUAUGUUAAAGUAACAUAUUACGUACUUUUGUUAUAGAACAAGUUUCAGAUAAGCGACUAUAAACUUAUAUGCACGUGUAAUAAUGGGAGAACUGAAAUCUCCGAAAAAUGUUAUAUACAAAAACAUUGACAUAUAAGGAAUAGAAUUAAAGGUCAAAUAAGCGAUGUGAUAAAAUUGAGGAGAACAAACAUUGCAUGGAUCAAUAUUUCUGACGUGAAAAGUAUCUUGCAUAGUUGCAUAAGAAGCAGUUCUUAACGACUCAGUGGCAAAUUGUUAGUUUACCUAACAAUCUGCGACUGAUUUUAUUUUCAGAUUCUUCAUAUUGAUACUGAGUAAAAAGGUAGAAAGAACCACUUUAGAAAAAAUUGCUACCCUUGAAUACCACAAACGUGUGGCUUAGCAUUCACUACGUUACCGCUGAAAAUUGUAAAAAUAAUUGCAUAAUUAUAAAAUAUUUUUUUUUGCUAGAACCGAAAUACAAAAAUAGUAUGGCUAUAAUAAAGAAAACAUAAAUUAACUGUUGUAUCGGAAACCUGCAAAAUAAAAAGGUAAUUUAAAUUUGAAAUUACUCUCUUGGUCUGCAACUGCGGAUAAAUAAACAAAUGUUUUAGAAUAUGCACAGCACAAGCAUGCUACAUCAUUGCGUCAUAAUGUUGAAAUAUAUCUACCUACUUAUCUAACUGCAUACACUGUAGGCUUUCUACUUUAUUUUGGUGUAACCAAUCAUUUUUAUUUUGGUUUUCGUUGUUCUUUGUUUACACUUAUUCAUUAUCAAUUCUGUGUUAGAUUAUAUUGUGCUCGUUUUAGCAUUACGUAAUACCUUUUUAAUGUCUUAAAAUUUGUUUGUCGUGCGAAUAUUUUUUUAACAGAUCGCCAGUGACGGUUUGGUAAUUUAUUUCGAUACAAUUUUUAUUUUUUAUUUUUUUGUGUUUUUAUUCAGUCUUUAUUACAGUGACCUAUGUACUGAUAUCAAAGCAGGUAUUUGCCUAAAUGUUAGAGCUAUCAAUAAUUAAUCAAUUCUUUCAGAAACCUCUUAAGGUAAUGAUUUUAUUAUAAUUUGUUUUCGUUGAUUUUGUUAUUAUUUAUAUAUUAUUUUCAGAAAACCAACAUAAAGGUAAUUUUGUGAUAAAUAAAUCUGUGAUCAAAUAAUGAUUAUAAACUUUUGUCUAGAUAUGCAUUUGUAGAAGUAAAUUUCGAGACAAUUUUAACUAAAGGAAAAUAUGUACUGAUGUAUAUAUAUAUCUGCAAAAAAUAUAACAUGUAAAGGUAUAUUAUG